AUGAAUUUGUUUGAACGAGACUUGCAGGUGUUCUCUUGGAAAACUUCAAAACUCAACAGGGCUGCGAGACAGGAGCAUUCUGCAAAUUUCAGCUGCUUCACUAGCUUCUCCUGUUUGUUGCUGAACCGAUUAUCCUGUUCUGCACUUGUUCCGCGGAAGAAUCCCGAGUCCCAUCUUCUGCCUCGCUCGGACCUGAUAUUUGUUCUUUAUUCUCCUAAAGCGGUUAAUGAAAAAUUCACUCCCAGAAGUGAACGACUUUUACCUAGUUUGGGGCCUGUGCUCCUGAUAGAAUAUGAGGAGGACUAG
rnacentral:lncRNA from 1 species